rnacentral:rRNA from 1 species
UGGGGAAUAUUGCACAAUGGGCGCAAGCCUGAUGCAGCAACGCCGCGUGAACGAUGAAGGUCUUCGGAUCGUAAAGUUCUGUUGCAGGGGAAGAUAAUGACGGUACCCUGUGAGGAAGCCCCGGCUAACUACGUGCCAGCAGCCGCGGUAAUACGUAGGGGGCUAGCGUUAUCCAGAUUUACUGGGCGUAAAGGGUGCGUAGGUGGUCUUUCAAGUCGGUGGUUAAAGGCUACGGCUCAACCGUAGUUAGCCUCCGAAACUGGAAGACUUGAGUGCAGGAGAGGAAAGUGGAAUUCCCAGUGUAGCGGUGAAAUGCGUAGAUAUUGGGAGGAACACCAGUAGCGAAGGCGGCUUUCUGGACUGCAACUGACACUGAGGCACGAAAGCGUGGGUAGCAAACAGG